rnacentral:rRNA from 1 species
UACGUAGGGGGCAAGCGUUAUCCGGAUUUACUGGGUGUAAAGGGAGCGUAGACGGCGCUGCAAGUCCGGAGUGAAAGCCCAUGGCUUAACCAUGGUACUGCUCUGGAAACUGUGGAGCUUGAGUGCGGGAGGGGCAGGCGGAAUUCCUAGUGUAGCGGUGAAAUGCGUAGAUAUCACGCAGAACUCCGAUUGCGAAGGCAGCAUACCGGCGCCCUACUGACGCUGAGGCACGAAAGCGUGGGUAUCGAACAGG